rnacentral:misc_RNA from 1 species
ACCUCACGCUUAUUUCUGUGGACAAAGAAAGUUUUAUGAGUUUGAAACAGCCCUACCUUUGUUGUCGCCCCAAUUUGUCUGUCAAACACCUAUGCGAAUAUGUUGCUCACAAAAAGGCUUUGGAAACUGAAGAAGUUGAAGUAUUUUUAGUUAAAGGGCAGCACAAGUCUAAUGACAACCUAUCAUCCCUGCAUCUGCCAAUUUCAGUGGAUGAGCUGCAAAUUUUGAAAGGGCAGGAAACUUU